rnacentral:rRNA from 1 species
UAGGGAAUCUUCCACUAUGGACGCAAGUCUGAUGGAGCAACGCCGCGUGAGUGAAGAAGGUCUUCGGAUCGUAAAACUCUGUUGUUAGAGAAGAACACGAGUGAGAGUAACUGUUCAUUCGAUGACGGUAUCUAACCAGCAAGUCACGGCUAACUACGUGCCAG